rnacentral:rRNA from 1 species
AUACGUAGGUGGCAAGCGUUGUCCGGAUUUACUGGGUGUAAAGGGCGUGCAGCCGGGGAAGCAAGUCAGGUGUGAAAUGCAGAGGCUUAACCUCUGAACUGCAUUUGAAACUGUUUUUCUUGAGUACUGGAGGGGCAAUCGGAAUUCCUAGUGUAGCGGUGAAAUGCGUAGAUAUUAGGAGGAACACCAGUGGCGAAGGCGGAUUGCUGGACAGCAACUGACGGUGAGGCGCGAAAGUGUGGGGAGCAAACAGGAUUAGAUACCCUGGUAGUCCACACUGUAAACGAUGAGUACUAGGUGUGCGGGGACUGACCCCCUGCGUGCCGGCGUUAACACAAUAAGUAUUCCACCUGGGGAGUACGAUCGCAAGGUUGAAACUUAAAGGAAUUGACGGGG